CAAGGGGAUAGUAAUUCCAGUUUUAGACCACUCUUCCAAAGCCUAGGGUAAAUGGGAAGAUUCCCCAACUCUUUAAAUGAGGCUACCAUAAUCUUGAUACCAAAACGAAUUAUAAGAAGGUAGAAUUACAGACUCACUCAGUUGUAUACAGGCACAAUAAUUAAGCAAAAUAUUAGUUAUACAAUACAUAUGUAUGUAAAUGUGUGAGAUGCAGUUCAAAAAUACCACAGUGAGGGUACUUAAUGAGAACAAUCAAAUAUUCUUCUCAACAGACAGAGAACAAAGUUAGUACGUAUGAAUUUAGUACGUACGAACGGAUAUCAUAAAAGCUAGUAAACUAGGAAAAGAGGGUACUUCCUUAUUCUAAUAAAGUAUAUUUCUAUAAAAUCUAUCACAGACAUUCUACUAAAUGGCAAAAUGUUGAAAACUUGUUUUGCAGUCAAGAACAAGGUAAUGAUUUCCACUAUCACCACUCUUUCCACACUUUCCACCACAUUUUCCAUCAGCCUUAUAUGAGAAUUGCUACCCAGUGCAAUUAGAUCAGAAAAUAAAUUAAUAAAGAUAAGGAUUAGAAAGGCAAAAACACAAAACUUAUUAUUUACAGAUGAUAUAACUGUGUAUAAAAAAGGAAUACAAAUAGAUCAUCAGUAAGAACUAUAAAAUGAGAAUAGUUGUGUUAAAACCACAUAUAAAAAAUUAUAAAUUCUUAUUAGAGGCAUUAGCAAAUAUUUCAAUAAAUGGAGGUAUAAAUUCAUGGGUUAGAAGACUCCACUUUUUUUUAAGCUAAGAUUUUUUUGAAUUUCACUAGUUUUUCCAUUAACAUCCUCUUGUUCAGGAUCCACUCCUGCCUAACUGCAUAGUAUUUAGUUAUGUCUCUUCAGUCUCAGGAGACCAGCCUUUUACUGUUUCUCAUGACCUUAAGGAGUAGUGGUCAGGUGUUUGUAGCAUGUUUCUCAAUUUAGGUUUGUCUAAUAUUUUUCUCAUGAUUAUACUGAGGGUGUGGGAUUUUGGAAAGAAUAACACAAUGGUAAAAUACCCUUUUCAUCACUUCAUAUCAGUGAGCAAAUGAUAGCCACAAGCCAUCUCUUUGAUUUUUUUUCCCUACUAAUUUAUAAACUUUAUUUUUUGUUGUUUUCUUCUUUUUUUAUUCAAGUAUAAUUAACAUACAAUGUUAUAUUACUUUGAAGUGUACAAUAUAAUGAUUCAGCAAUUCAUUCUGUUUCUCAAGACAUUAUUGUGACAUUUAACCUGGCCUGUAAGAAAGAGCCAGGAGGCUCAUGAGCAAAAUGAAGGAGGGAGAGAUUAGUAGAAAUGAAGCCAGCAGAUUAAUGGAAUGCCAGAACAUUUAAAGGUCUUGUAAGCUAUUAGGAAUACUUUUAUUUUUAUUGAAAUGUGAAGGCAUUAGAAGAAGUUGAAUAGAGUAGUGGUAUAAUUUUAUUUUUAUUUUAGAAGUAUGACUUUGGCUGCUGUAUUGAGGAUAAACUAUAGAAGGCAAGGGUAGGAGAAGGAAGACCAGUAAGGAGGUUAUCACCAUAAUCUAAAUUGGCAGUUUAAAUUAGGAAGGUAGAAGUAAAGAUUGUGAGAAUGUAUCAAAUUCUGGUUAUAUUUUGAGUCUAUAGGACUUACUGAUGGACUAGAUCAGGAUUGAGAAGGAAAGAGGAGCUUAAGGUGAUUCUGUGGUUUCCUCCAUUUGAUGGUUAUGUUUGGAGGGGAUCUAAUUAUCAGACAUUUAUGACUCUUAAUCUUGUUGGAACCAGUCCCUGUAUCUGUUUUUUAUUCUGAUUCUGUCAUUUGUCAUGUCCAUGCCCCUCCUGUCAUUCAGAAAUGUGUUUGAGUAGGGCCAAGAACAGACGUUGUGGCAUGGCACUAACUUUCUUCUAUUGUCACCAUUCUAUAAAUCACCACUUUUUGAAUAAAUUUAUUUGGUUAUUUUUAAUCUGUCAAUGGUGUCAAAAAUAAAUAUCAUAUGAUAUCAUGUCUCCUAGUAAUACUGUCAAAAAUGGAUAUGAGGCCAGUUUAUAUGACUUUUUUUCAGUGAACCCAUUCUGGAUGUUCAUGAUCAUUUUUUUUAAACACACACACACACACACACACACACACACACACAGCCUUUAUAAUCUAUUCUAGGAAACAUUUGUAGGCUAGAAAUCAAAUAUCUCUGAUCUAUAGUUUACAAAAGGAAAUCAGAGGUGGAAGGUGCAAAUUCAAUGACAUUUGUUCAUCUCUCCUAAUCUUCCAUGUUCCCUCAAAGAUCAUAACCAGGUCAGUGAUUUAUUUUCAAAUGCUUUUAUAUUUUCUAAAAAUAUUUUAUAUGAGCCAGGAGACCAAGUGUAUAAUGACUUAUCUAUCAUGAGUUUUGAUUCUGUUUUGCUUCAUGAACUUAUAUUUUCUGGAAGAGAAAAUCACAACUAAUUCUUGUAGUUCUUGGCUACCCCUGGGAUUUGAGCCUAAAUGCUUUUGCAUGACAGCUACGUAUUGUCUUUCUAAACUUGAUUUUGCACCACUCCCUUUGUCCACAUUCAUUCAUUCCUUUGAAUCUUUGUAUAUCCUGUUUUAUCUGCCUGGCAUUUCCUUCUCUUCCUUUUCUGUCACCUUCCUUUUCUGUCACCUUCUCUUCCUUCUGUCCUUUUCUGUCUUCUCUUCCUUUCCUUCUAUUGCCUGAACUCCAUAGACAUAGUAAAAUUAGCUUUCCAAAAAUUGUUCAUAGAUUUUACACAUUGUAUUGUGAUUGAUCACUCUGUUUCACUAAAAUAAUGAUUGAGAGCAAGAACUGUAUCUCAUUGAUCUCUGUCUUUUACUACUAAUACUUAAUCCAUAUUAUAUCCUUAAAUAAAUCUCCUACACAUGAGUGGAUGAGUUAAGAUGCUGUCCUUUUUUUAUUUUUAAUCUUCAUUAAUUAUACCAUCAACUUCAACAAAACAGUUCUUCCCCUUCUUGAUUUCCUUAGCAUUUUGAGAGCUUCAAUUUUUUUUCACAUUUUUUAUCUUCUUGACACUAUUUGGGUCUUACAUUGUCUAAACUCAUAUGUUCAUCCUUGAUUAUGUGACAUUCUUUCUGUUCUCUGUAUACUUUAUAUUCUUUGUAUGCUUUUAAAAUAUGAGAUACUUGGAAAUUCCAUCUGUGUGACCCUUUUCUUUCUUAAGAAACAUUUCUUAUAUAAAAUAUGAAUAUAGAUUAAGUUUUUGUGGCCCUAUAUAAGGCAUCCAGGAAGAAAUAAAACAUAAUCACAUAAUCCUUUAUCAAUUAAAAAAAACUAUAGCAACUUCUUAUAGAAAGAUGGAGUAGAUAAUACUUUUUUUCUAUUCCUUCUAUUAAGUACAGCCAAAAUCUCAACAUUACAUAUAAAACAUAAGAUUCUGAAAGGUAGAUAGAAGAAGACAGACAUGCUAGGGACCAAAGGACCCAAGGAACAAUACUGCAGUGAGUUCCCAGGGUUUUCUUUUUGUUUAUGUACCCUCUUAUACAUCCCUCAUAGAUCAUCCUGGUGCUGGAGAAGCCAAUACACAAAAACCCCAACACCUCACAGUAAUGGGACAGUGCCUUCUUUCUCACAGGAAACCUGCUAAAACAGAAGAUUUAAAUAAUAUUGCAUAUCUUUGGCUCCUUAUAUAAUAACUUACAUGUCCAAGUUUGAUUCAAAAAUCAUUUGUCAUACCCAGAACCAGAAAAACUUCAACUUAAGUAGAAAAAACAGUAAACAUACACCAAUACUGAGGUGACAAAGAUGUUAAAUUACAAUUCCAUAAUUGACACAGAUCAUCAUGGAGUGCAGGCUUGAUCAAAAUGUUUCAGCAAACAAUUAUGAACAUGCUUCAACUAAAAAAAUACAGUCUCAGAAUAAAAAAAUGAAGAUGAGAGAAGAACUAAAUGAAAUAGAGACCAAAAGACAGUAGAAAAGAUCAUUGAAACUAAGAGCUAGUUCCUUAAAAAGAUUAACAAAAUCAACAAGCCAUUAGCUAGACUCACCAAGAAAAAAAAGAGGGCUCAAAUAAAUAAAAUCAGAAAAGAAAGAAGUUACAACUAACACAAAGAACAACAAAGGAUCAUAAGAGAAUACCAUGAACAAUUAAAUACAACAAACUGGACAACCUAGGAGAAAUGGAAAGCAUAUAAUCUUCUAAGACUGAAUCAUAAAAAAAAAAAAAAAAUAGAAAACCUAAAUAGACCAAAUAUUAGCAAGGAGAUUCAGUUAGUAAUCAAAAAAAACCCCAAUAAACAAAAGUUCAGGACCAGAUGGUUUCACUGGUGAAUUCUACCAAACAUUCAAAAAGAGUUAAUAUCUUUCUCAAAUUAUUCCAAAAAAUGGAAGAGGGGAAUGCUUCCAAAUUUAUUUUACAAAGCCAGCAUUACCCUGAUACCAACACCUGAUGACACAACCAAAAAGGAAAAUUAUAGGCCAAUAUCCCUGAUGAACAUAGAUACAGAAAUCCUCAACAAAAUAUUAGCAAACCAAAUUCAAUAAUUCAUUAAAUACUGGGCUUUAUUUCAGGACUGUGAGGAUAGUUCAACAUUCACAAACCACUGUGAUAUACCACAUUAACAAAAUGAAGACUAAAAAGUCAAUUGAUCAUCUCAAUAAUGCAGAAAAAGAAUUGAAAAAAUUCAGUGCCUAUUUAUAAUAAAAACUCAAAAAAAGUGGAUGUAGACAGAGUAUACUUCAACAUGAUGAAGGCUAUAUAUGAUGAGCCCACAGCUAACAUCACACUCAGUGAUAAAAAGCUAAAAUCUUUUCCCUUAAGAUCAGGAUUAAGCCAAGGAUGCCCACUUUCACCACUGUAUUCAACAUAGUAUUGAAAGUCUUAGCCAGAGCAAUUAGGCAGGAAAAAGAAAUAAAAGGCAUCCAAAUGGAAAGGAAAAAGUGUAACUGUCACUAUUUGCAGACUACAUGAUUUUAUAUAUAGAAAACCCUAAAGAUUCAACCAAAAAACUUUUAGAACUAAUAAAUUCAGUAACGUUGCAGGGUACAAAAUAAACAUACAAAAAUCUGUUGCAUUUUUAUAUACUAACAAUGAACUAUUAGAGAAAUUAAGAAAAUAGUCCCCUUUGCAAUUGCAUCCAAAAAAAAAAAAAUACCUAGGAAUAACUUUAACCAAGGAGGCGAAAGACUUGCACGCUGAAAACUAAAAGACAUUAAUAAUAAAAGAAAUUGAAGAAGACAACAAUAAAUGGGAAGCUAUUUUGUGCUCAUGAAUUGGAAGAAUUAUUAUCAUUAAAAUAUCUAUAGGCCCAAGCAAUAUACAGAUUCAGUGCAAUCACUAUCAAAGUUCUAAUGAAUUUUUCAUAGAAAUAGAACAAACCAUCCUAAAAUGUUUAUGAAACCACAAAAGAUCCCAGAUAGCCUGAAAAAAAAAAAAAAAAAAAAAAAAAACAAA